CACUGUUUUUCUGACAAUCAAAGCUCAUAUUUUACAUAAAAAUGGUUAUAUAUUCCUGUCAAUCCUGCAUAGAUGCACUUCUAUUCUGAUAAAUGGGCUAUUCGCUUUAAAAGUAAGAUUCCCUUGGUAGCUUCACUUCAGUUGUAUCUCCGUACAUACAUGAGUGUUUCUUCCUUCCAUUUACAUGAGAGCAAAAUAAGGCAUGUCAAGUUAAAUCUUUGAUACAUUGUACGUGUUAACUGAAAGAGAAAUUCUAGAUGUGUACUUCCGGCCCUUUGUGUGAUUGUUCUAUGGUGAGGCUGCACCUCUUUUGUUGUCUUACGCGUGAUGUACUUGGUCAUGUCACAGCUCUUAGUUUUUUGAAUAUAGCGUCUGUCUACCAGUUGUUUCAUAUUCCUGGUUGUUUCUUUUGAUAAUUCUGUGAAUUCUUCCGAUAUUGGUUGUCCCUUAAUAUAGCACGCUUCUAUAUGCCAGUCGUUUGAUAUUUAAUUAAGUAAGGAAUUGUCAGGCUACUUGGAAGGAGUUCGUGUGAUGUCUAACCAAGUUCAGCAAGUUGCUGGAGCUGCGCUAGAGCCUGCUGUUUCAAUGAACACCUAUAACCUUAAAAAGACUCUUACAGAGGUUUAUGAUGCUAUAGCAAAACUGCAGCAACUUACUGAUGCAGUCAGUCUCUCCUUACAAAAGUAAGGCACGUAUCCAUAUUAUGUUGAGUCCAGUUCAACACAAAAUGGAUAUUCUGCUGAUGAUAUGGAUGGUGAGUAUAACAACUACUAUUAGACGAGCUCUGUCGACAUGCACCCGCCAUAGGGGCUAAUAGUGCUUAGACGUUGUGGCGUACCUUGCCUUCCUCUAUCAUGAUCAAUGUUGCUAUGCAUAAUAUAUGUUACCAAGUAGCCAUCUUGGUAAGCUAUCAACAAUAAAUUGCAAUCAAUGAUGAAUAAUAUAUGUUGUACUUGCUUAAGCCACUUUUUAUGUUGCGUAUUCUAUUUGAAUAUGCUAUGUACUCCCUCUGUAAACUAAUAUAAGAGUGUUUAGAUCACUAUUUUAGUGAUCUAAAUGCUCUCAUAUUAGUUUACGGAGGGAGUAAUAACCACUUAAACUUCCAUCAACAGUUUUUCUAAAUCAGUAUGUGUCUGUGUGCUUGUUAUUAAUUCGAGUUUAUUAUACUUUGUGCUAAUGUCAUGGCAAUCAAGGGAUUGGACAGUUCGAUUCCACAGGUGGCUUCUCACCAAACCAGGUUGCCGUAGACACCAUCGGCUUCAAUCUCAUGGACGGCGAGAAACCAGAUAUACAUGGCUUAAGAUGGAGGCUUGCACACUCAGGGUAGGUGGUCAAAGCCCUCUUCUAUUGUUGUGGCACUGGUGAGCUUGCACGGAGUAGCAGCCUGGAGAGGCGGCCGACGGUGCACUUGUGAAGCAACAAUAAACACGUCUCAUGCCAACACGCCAAGAUGAGCUUCACCCAAUCCCUCUCUCUGUAUAUAUGCAAGCUUGUGUGAUGUGCUCUGCUUCCUCCUCCCUUUUUUUAAUUAAUGGAUCUCUCACUGAGCAGAGCAUGUUGUUUAGGUUGGCAGCAUAAAUGAUAUAGCUAAGUUAUCUUCACCAAAGACAGAUUUUGGUAUGUGCAUUUGGGCCUUUUUGCCCUUCUUGUUCAAGAAAACAGGAUCCUGAUGAAUGUAAUGAUGUUGGACAAAGGGCGAUUUCUCAUGAUUGGGAGAGCCUUGCUGAUUCAUUUCGACCACAGUACCAGAACCCAGGUGAAUGCAGUUGACUCUUGAAGAUCGAGGGCACCAAAGACAUAUGCCGAGGCCGUCCAUCGACAACCUACCCAAGGUCCGGAUUCAUCGAGGAGUACAACAGGAGACGCUGUCGGCUGCCUGCAGCUGUGCCCCUCACUCUGUUGAGCAUGUUUUUGUUGCACCGGUUAGUUGUUAAAGUGCAUGUAUUUCAGCCCAUCAUCAGGAAUUAGGAGUUUCUUCACGAUGCCACUUCCCACCUCGAAAGGCGUCGAUGUCGGCGAUCCAGUUUAUGUUCUGCAUGCAUCACUUCUUCAAAUGAAACCCCAACCUGAGCAAGGUCAUGGUAGAUUAGAUGAUAAUGUAUUUGUCUUAUGUGCGUGUGUGUCAGAACAAGUGAUCUAUUAGUUGAGCAUUAUGUAAAUUAGACUUGGCAAUAAAGCUUUGACAAGUGUAUUUGCUGUCUUAUUGUACAGUUUAUUACUAUCCAAAUUAUUCUUUGUAAACCAACUCAAAAGCUGUGAAUCGAUGAUUGCAUUUGCUAAGACAAUUUUGAAAUAUUUUAUUGGGUCUAUGUUUAUUAUUUUGGCCCUUUUCCAAGCUGGAUUGCACCAUCCAUUGCCUCUGGCAUGUGCCAUGUUUUUCAAAAUUAUGCUCCUCUAUUGCCUGGUGGUUUUUACUGCUGUCCAUGGAUAUAACUUUUGCCAACCAUGAAGAGUUGCUUAGACAAUGAAGUAAUUUUCAAUACCAAUGACACAUGCAACAAUGAUUCUACCUAAUGUUCAUCAGUACUGUAAAUGAGCUGUCGUAAACUCAUUCGCCUUUUGAGCCAUCAUCACAAUGGGUCUAUGUAUGUAGUUU